GGGGAUGUGGCUCAAGCAGUAGAGCGCUCGCCUGGCAUGCGUGUGGCCCAGGUUCAAUCCUCAGCACCA
rnacentral:tRNA from 1 species